GAUGAACGCUGGCGGCGUGCCUAAUACAUGCAAGUCGAGCGAACAGACGAGGAGCUUGCUCCUCUGACGUUAGCGGCGGACGGGUGAGUAACACGUGGAUAACCUACCUAUAAGACUGGGAUAACUUCGGGAAACCGGAGCUAAUACCGGAUAAUAUAUUGAACCGCAUGGUUCAAUAGUGAAAGACGGUUUUGCUGUCACUUAUAGAUGGAUCCGCGCCGCAUUAGCUAGUUGGUAAGGUAACGGCUUACCAAGGCAACGAUGCGUAGCCGACCUGAGAGGGUGAUCGGCCACACUGGAACUGAGACACGGUCCAGACUCCUACGGGAGGCAGCAGUAGGGAAUCUUCCGCAAUGGGCGAAAGCCUGACGGAGCAACGCCGCGUGAGUGAUGAAGGUCUUCGGAUCGUAAAACUCUGUUAUUAGGGAAGACAAAUGUGUAAGUAACUAUGCACGUCUUGACGGUACCUAAUCAGAAAGCCACGGCUAACUACGUG
rnacentral:rRNA from 1 species